AAUACUAAAGUACUUCAAAAUAUAAGAACUGAAAUUGUUCAGAUACAUACUGGAAUUGUUCAGAUACAUGGAAAGCUAUGAGAUUCCUAGAAAGACUAAGAAGUUGUUUCCUCAUUCCCCUCCAGGACAUUCUCCACUGAGGCCUCAUUCUCCUCUGCUCACAUCCAAGUGGAUGAUCAUCGCAAAAGAAAAAACAGGCAAUAAACACAAACACAAACAAGCAAGGGUGAGCUAAUUAUAUAAAUAAACAACAUGUGACAGAUUAAGCAUGUNAUCAUAUAGGAGUGAAUUGAAAACAAANCAGUUUAGGAAACACAACCUAAGCAUGUUAUUUUCUAGACUUGACUCGUCCGGACUUUAAAACAAUAGUUGGGCUAUGGUGAGUCUUGCACCCGUGGUGACUUAUGAAACUUGGGUUCCCCACCCUGCCACACUCACGAGGUUAGUCCGUUCCGGGCCUUGAGGCAUACUGGGAGCCCCUAAGACUAAGGACCUCCUGCUACUUCUUACCACAUGGUUCAACCUCUCUAAGUGAGUUUGAUUGACCAUUGAAGCGUCAGAAUGACUCCUAAGGCUGAGCCCCUACUUUCAUUUUAAAACACUAAGAAUCUCACCGAGAGAUUCUACACAGAUGGAACUUAGUUUACCACUUGGAUCGUACUUUCAUCACUUUGUAAUCAUAUACUUUUUGCCAAAAUCGACAUAUACAUAAUCUCAACAAUAUACAUUACUCACCAAUCACAAGUUAUAAAAAUAACAUCUCCCUAAUUUAAUAUAAGUUAAUCAAUACCAUAAUCUUUUAUAAUUUAUUUCCAAUGCCUAAACCCCUGUACACUCAAAUAUAUAAAACCAUGUUUCUUUCCAUUAUAUUAUAAUAGUUAUAUUAAACCAUAAUUCUAGUCUAAUAUUUAUAUCAAACCAUUACGUAAACAUUUCUAAUUAAGUCAACAUUCAUAGUAUAAUAUUUUAAUAUUCUAUCAUACGUACCUAUUAGUUAUAUAUAUAAAACUAUAUUAUAUUAAUAGAAAUUAAUAUCAUGUACAUAUACAAAUUUAAUAUGUAACUAAUAUAUUAAUAUUAUUUAUUAAGUGUCCUGCACCUUUUAUAUAUAAUAGUAUAUUAUAUUAACAAAAUUUACUUUCAUGACAUUCCUGUUUUUCUUUCUUUUUAAUAUUUUAUUUUAUUUACUCAUUCUUUUAGCAAAGUGGGUCUAUCCUAUCUUUCCUACCUAUCCAUUUUACAAACAUAACAUGGCAAAAGAAUUUCCACACCCUGGACGUGCCUUACGGAGGCAAACAUUCAUAUUUUCUUUUCUAUAUUAAUUUAUAUAUCCAAGAAAGAAAAUUUUUCCAAAACCUAAUAAAAGCAAAACGUCCCUCCCUCUCUGCAACAAAACAACCACUGCUCUUCCACUAUUUAUUAAAAUGUUAUGUUCAUUUAAGAUCACAAUUCUCUCCUUCUUCUAAUCUUUUCCCACUAUAAAAUCACUAACCAAUGUUUCCAGCACCACUCUUUUUCUUUCCUGCCACCCACACGUCUUCUUCUUUUCUCUUUCUUGCAUACUAACAUUGUUCCCUUCUAUACCCACAACUCUCUCUUCAUUUUAUUUUAUUAAACCCACACAGAGCAACACUCCUUCUCUAUCAAUAUCAUCCUAAUAAACUCCCCAUCCAAUGCAUAUCUGAAACUGUUUAUUUACACCCAAAACCUACUCAUCCUUACAAUUCAAACAAGAAAGGAAAUAUAAAAAAAAUCCACAAACAGAGAUACUCCUUUUUCCCCUCUCAUUCCUUUUUCUGUCAAUGGCCAUAGCACUCUUUGCCUCAGAAAAACAGUAAACCAUUUUAAAGAAAUUAAACAUCUUUCUCUCUCCCGUGUUAUUCUUUCAGACUCUCAUCCGUUUACUAACUUUACAUUUCAUCCUCUAUCCAACCAAAUUUAACACUUCCUUUACACUUUACAAAACCAACCCCAAUUCUUUCAAACCCUUCUUACAUCCCAAUUGGUCAGCGGAGAAAAAUCAAUCACAUUCAAUAACUCAUUCCGAAACAGAGUAUAUUCAUCAACAAUACACAAGAAAUCAUUCACAGGUUCAUCAUUUGUGCAAUCCAGUUCAUACCAAAACCAAAUACGUAAAACAGUGACAACACAAUCCCAACCGAACAUCAUAUUUUUAAAUUCAAUCAUACAUGAAACACUAAAACAGAUUUAACCAAAAAUAAUUAACUCCCCUUAUCUGACUUUCUCAAAAAAACUAAUUGAAGAUGCCCUAACAGGAACCCACUCAGUGUUUGCUUACAAAACCUACAAAUCACCCAAUUCGUGAUAGAACAUAGCGCUUAGAGCUCGAAUAGAGUGGAAGGAAAAACGUACAAGGCACAUGAACCCAACAAAGUUGCAGGCCCUAGAUUCUAGAACAGUGAAAGAAAAAGGGAAAAGGGGACUUACCGAUCGGGAUAGAAAAUUGUUCGGUUCAAAAUGAAACUUUUGUCGCCGCGAUCGUUUAGGCACCUUCAAAUUAAAAUUUAAACAGUUCAGUGUUUGGAUCUUUUAGAGAGAAGGUAGAGCAAUUAUUUAGGAAAAAAAAGGAUUUUUGUUUAGAGAGAGAAAAGAAAAAGCAGAAAUUAAAAGUCUGACUUUUGAGAAAGGACCCUUAAGGUCAGGUUCCCUUAAUC
rnacentral:lncRNA from 1 species